ensembl:lncRNA
AGUAGGCAUCUCCUAUUAGGAAGUAAUAUUGUUUGUAUUCUUGGAAACUAAGUGGCAACAUAGUCUCUGAUUUCACCUUGAAGAAAAUGGUAUCUGACCAAACGAACCUUGAACUUGGUCCACCUGAAUUGGAAGAACAUUGCAAUAUAAGGCCGUGAAAAAGGUGUUAAUUGUCAUUCCUUCACUCCGUGACUUCCAAUGAGUUCGGCAGUGAUGCGUUUUUUGUGUUAAUGCUUUGAAGUAUGUGGUCACAUCUUGGACAUCUGUCACCUGCAGUUAAGGCAAGCCAUUAGCUAAUGGAACUGAUUCCCUCCCAUUACAGAUGCUGAAAUAAGUCAGGAUGUGUAGUCAGUCAUGAAAAUGUGACUUGACUGUAGCCGAGGUGUUUCAAGUUGAGAGCUAACAGAUCAUAGGUGUUGCGUUGGUUACAAAUUAAUAAAUUACUAACAUUCCAUGUUUUAAAAUGACUCAAUAGUAGUCAUGUUGUGACAUCAAAUGGGUGUUUAGGGAAGGACUCCUUGCUGCCACCAAGUUAGGUCUGCAAAGUACACUAAGUGAAAAAGGUUUCUGAAUGAAUGUUCUGCUAUACUGGCACUAGGGUUUUGUUUUGUUUUUUUUUUAAAGUCUUUUCUGCUGCUCCUUAAGCACUGCUGUAUAGGUUUUGGUCAUGAGUGGGGUUGAUGAAAGCCAAGAGAUGAAAAGGGAAAAGAAAUGUGUUCUGUGAUGUCUGCACUGACCAAAACAUAUUGCCAGGGCAGCAGGCUUAAUACGGGCUUUUACCUUUUACGCUGUAUACCUUUGUGUCACAGUGUCCUGUCAAAUUAUCUUCAUUUCUUCUUGAGUGGAGAUUGGAGGAUAAGUAAAAGUUUCUUUUCAGCUCCUUGAAGCCAGAUUCUCCCCCUCACCAUUCUAGUGAUGUUUCUGUCAGAUUACUGGUGAUCUCUCUGCAGACCUGUCCAUUUGGCCUCUUGAAAUAAAGCACCACCAAUGUGACCUUGGUCUUACCGUCUCUCCGACCACUUUUUCAUUGCCAUCUUUGUCCCUUAGAUGUUAAUGUUUCCC